UUGCUUCAGCAGCACAUGUGCUAAAAUUUAAAGUAUACAGAAAAGAUUAGCAUGGGUUUUCUACAAAGCUAACAUUCAAAUUCAGGAAGCAUUGCAUAUUUUA